UAUGGGCCACCUUGUAGUUAA
rnacentral:piRNA from 1 species